ACCACACCAAUAUGUCUCCAUUUUUAAUUGGGUGUUACAUUGGGAAAAAAAACCUGAAGAUAUUAACGAUUUCCUAUUUGAUUUUGUUCAGGAAUUUUUGGUAUUACAGGAAAGAGGUAUUGAGCUGGGAUGCUCCACAGUGUUUAUUAAGCUACGAGCAAUUAUAUGCGAUGCUCCCGCUCGCGCUUUCGUUAGCGGAACAGUAGGUCAUACUUCUGCCAGUGGAUGUUCCAAGUGCACUCAACAGGCUAUGCAAAAAAGUGAAUGUUCCAAUUGCACACAACAAACUUUACAAAAAAAGAAGCGCUUGACAUAUAGCGUAACAGUUGAGAGCUUAAGAACGGACGACGACUUCAGGGCAAGAAGGGACCCACAAUUCCAUUUAAAAAUGUUUAUACACAAUGAACAUAUUUUAGAAAAGUUAAAUGUUAGAAUGAUCAGUCAGUUCCCUUUGGACGUGAUGCAUCUUAUUGACUUGGGGGUUGUUAGAAAAAUGCUACUUUUGAUAUGGAAUGAUAAACUAUGUAGUGGAAAGAUUCAGAAGAUUUCAAGAGAAAGAAAACAAGAUAUGGAUAAUUUUUUCUUAUCUUUAAGAAACUGCAUUCCAAAGGAGUUCCAAAGGAAACCACGUUCCUUCAAUGAGCUAUGCCGCUGGAAGGCUACAGAGUUCAGGCUAGUAGUUCUAUAUGUAGGUCCUGUUCUUUUUAAAAACUUCCUAUGUGAUACCUUGUACACACAUUUCCUUCUACUUCAUUCUUCUUAUAGACUUAUUUCAUCUACUAAAUGUCGAGCUAAUUUAGAUUGUGUGCAAAGUAUGUUGGAGGUAUUUGUUCAUAAUUUUCAAUAUAUUUAUUGCGAAAACAAAGUAAGCUAUAAUGUGCAUAAUCUGCUUCAUAUUGCAAGUUGUGUUCAACUGUUUGGAAAUGUUAAUUCAUUUUCAGCCUACAAGUAUGAAAACUAUCUACAAGUGCUGAAAAAAGAUUGCCGAAAGCCCAACUUUAUAUUACAACAAAUUUGUAACAGAAUUAAUGAACGAAACGAAGUAUCAAUUAAAAAUAGAAUCGGCAUGGGGAAGAAAAUAGUUUCUCAUAGGUUUGCGUACUCAAAUUCCCCUUUAUAUACAAGUUACAACUUCAACGAAUUCUUUUUGAGUAUCGAUGCACCUGAUUGUUAUUGCUACUUCAAACCAUUUGUGCCUAUAAAAAUUUGUGGUUUUUUCAAAGAUAAGGCAGGUCGGGAAUAUAUUGUAGGAAGGGUUUUUCUUAAUAAAAGUAGUUUUUUCACUGAACCUGUACAUUCAAUGUCGUCGUUAGGGAUUGCAUAUGUAAGCAAUCUCAGUGAUAAUGAAGAAAUAUUUGCAAUCACAAACUUAAUUAGCAAAUGUAUUUUUUUGCCAAUAGGGGAUAGGGCAGUCAUUGUACCAAUUUUACAUUAUUUCUAAAAAAGGGUGACCACUUGAAGAAUGAAGGGAAUGAAGAAGAGUUUUGUAACGAAGGCAUCGCAAAAGGAAAUGUUCUGCGAUUCAGAUAAGGUGAAUAACCAGCUAAAAGCAAAAUGUGCAAAACUUGAACUUGAGAACGAGGAGCUAACUAAGUUCCUGCAAGAGCUAAGAGCAGAUAUCUCACAAUUAAAAACAGAUGUAUCAACAAUAAAAAAUAGUACGGCAACCCAAGGUGUGAUUCUCGAAAAACUUGUUCAGAAGGUCUUACCAAAAACAUCAAAUUUAACCAUUUUGCCGUUCAAAACGAUUGAAGAGAUUAAGUCUGCAGACAACAUUUUAUCGCAGUAUCCUCGGGACGAAUUGGUGGCAUACGUACGCAAUACCGUAGGUGUUACUCCGAUAAGAAAAAUUGUUCCUUUCUUAUUUGCUGAAUCUACUAUGCCUUUCAUUAAUUGGGAUGGUCGUCACCAAAGAUUUGCAAUCAAAUCUCUUCAAUUUUUCAACGAAAUAGUUUUUCGUGCAGUUCAAGGUCCCGAUAUGGAUUUCUCCAAAUUUGACAGUGAAAUGCGGAAGGGGAUCCGAUCCGCGAAAAACAAAAUGUAUAAAAACAAAUCCAACCAGUCUUAAUUAUUUUCGAAGCAUAUCUUAAUCUACCAUAAUUUAUUUUGUAUGUAAGACUCAACCUUCAUCACAUUUUUUUACCAUUUUUAAGUUAACCAUUUAUGAACGUUAAUGUAACGUAAUGAAAACUUCCUUAUUUUAAAAUGAAUUCCAGUGUCCUUAUGUAAAAAAAAUUUAUUUUGAAACAUAUAUGUAUGUACAUAUAUGAACAUUAACGUAGCGUAAUGAAA